rnacentral:lncRNA from 1 species
ACUGCUGGCUCAUAUUCAUUCACCUUGCUCUCAGCUAAAACUCCCAGAUCCCUCUUGUGGCUGGACAGUACAGAAAUUGACUGAGCCUCCAAGAAUCUGAGCAGAAAGGAAAUUCUAAUAAUGUUGCUGCAAAAAAGCAGAUUUAAGUAAGUUUUUACCAGCUUUUGUGCUAGUUUUGGCACAAGCAUUAUGUUUAUGGGAUCUUUUACUUGGGGUAAAUCUUUUGCCUCCACUCGACGUAGUAAGUCCACACAUGGACUUACCCUAAGAGCAGUGUGUCUACUCCUGGUGUCUCAUGUCUCGCUUGUGCUGCAAUUCAGUGAACGAGAGGAAUAGCUGCUACAGAAGCAUGGAGUGUUACUUAAGAGCGAGGGGAGGGGUAUUGCUCAGCCUGUGAUCUUGUGCGAGAUCUUGUGGUCUUGCAGAACAGUGCCAGUAGGAACGCCUCUCUUGACCGAUAUGUGCAAAGUGACUCAAACCUCACUGGCUGCCACUUGAACACAGGUUAUAAAUGUUUGCCUGUUAGCAAAAGUGGAAGGAAAGCAAUCCUCUGUUACUUUUAUUGAAGAAAGCUAGUGGGAGGAGUUUAAGGCCCCCAGGAACUAAAAAUAAAUGGGAGGCUGCUGCUAUGAGCAGCAGAAAGAUACUUGAAAGAAAACACCAACUUUCUGGCACACAUUUUCUGCCCGUUAUCUGGCUGUCCAGUCCGGAUGCAGCUGUGUUUUUCUCUGUCUUCUUUCAUUUUCCCCUGAGACAGAGAGGCACCAGCAGUGCCAAAUAAUCAACAUGGCUCAAAGUCCACUCGGCUCUGUGCCAAUGCCACGUAUCGGCACAGGGUUGAAAAGCCCCAGCUGGUCCGUAGAGGGUCAAAAAGCCUUGAGUCAAAGAGCCAGGGAGCUGAAACUGCACUUCCAGAUAACUGCAUGUGCUGCCCUUCCCUUGGACCAAGUGCUAAUUAACUUCAAUGGCGGUGAGGGGAAGAGAGUGCCUGCAGAAUGUGCUGGAGGAUGCAGCUCUUUGGGGAUGGGGAGCAGGAGCAGCCCGAUGGAGCUGAGCUGCCCACCAGCACCAAACAACCAGGCAUUGGGUUUCUGUGUUUCUGUCCUUUUUUUUUUUUUUUUUUGCUUGGACAAAGAGCCUUUGUUUUCCUUGACAACAUGUUCGCUGAGGCUGCUGCUGGAUCAGGCAGUAAAUUCUCUUCCCACUGGAGCCAUGAAACUGAGACCAAAGUUUGCUCCUACAGAUUUCAGCAUGCUAUCUGAUGUGAAAACAGCCUUUAUUGCCUUUUUUUUCUUUUUUUUUUUCUUCCAAACACACCAAGGUAGUCUGGGGCAGGAGCAGUUUAGUCCUUUGGGGAUGAGUUGGUGCUGAGGAGGGUGGCAACGAGCUGUUGUAAGGCAGCAAAGCUCUGCCCAGGUCCAACUUUAUCCAAAAUGGAGCAAUUUAAAAACUGUACUGGGUCUGGCUGGAAUGUUAACUUUCCCGGCAGCAGCCCAUACAGUGCUGUGCUCUGCACUUGGAGCUAGAACAGCAGUGGUAUCACACCAGUGUUGUGACUGCUGCUGAGCAGUGCUGGCACAGCAUCAGGACUCUCUCUAACCCUCCUAGGGGGUGGGCAAAAAGUGAGGAGGGAAGCAUCACUAGGGCAGCUGACCUAAACCAACCAAAGGGGUAUUCCGUACCGUGUGAUGUCACACUCGGCAAGAAAAGGUAGAAACAGGAAGAGGAGAGGAGGGGUGGGCUCUCAUUGAGAAAACAUCGGUCCUCCUCUCGAACACUGGCUGCGUGUGUUGAGGCCUUGCUUCAAGGACGUGGUCAAUCAUCGCUCAUUUGUGGGAAGUAGAAAGUAAUUUCUUUCCUCUGCA